rnacentral:rRNA from 1 species
CCUACGGGAGGCAGCAGUGAGGAAUAUUGGUCAAUGGACGAGAGUCUGAACCAGCCACGUAGCGUGAAGGAUGACUGCCCUAUGGGUUGUAAACUUCUUUUAUAUGGGAAUAAAAUGUUCCACGUGUGGGAUUUUGUAUGUACCAUAUGAAUACGGAUCGGCUAACUCCGUGCCAGCAGCGGCGGUAAUACGGAGGAUCCGAGCGUUAUCCGGAUUUAUUGGGUUUAAAGGGAGCGUAUGUGGAUUGUUAAGUGAGUUGUGAAAGUUUUCGGCUCAACCGUAAAAUUGCAGUUGAAACUGGCAGUCUUGAGUACAGUAGAGGUGGGCGGAAUUCGUGGUGUAGCGGUGAAAUGCGUAGAUAUCACGAAGAACUCCGAUUGCGAAGGCAGCUCACUGGACUGCAACUGACACUGAGGCACGAAAGUGUGGGGAUCAAACAGGAUUAGAUACCCUAGUAGUC